rnacentral:tRNA from 1 species
AAAAUGAUAGUUCAAUUGGUUAAAACGUUAAUUUCGUGCAUUAAUAAUGUAAAUUCGAGUUUAUCUCCCGGUUAUUUUC